rnacentral:rRNA from 1 species
AUUGAACGCUGGCGGCAUGCCUUACACAUGCAAGUCGAACGGCAGCGGGCCUUCGGGUGCCGGCGAGUGGCGAACGGGUGAGUAAUGCAUCGGAACGUGCCAUUGAGUGGGGGAUAACGUAGCGAAAGUUACGCUAAUACCGCAUAUUCUGUGAGCAGGAAAGCAGGGGACCGCAAGGCCUUGCGCUCUUUGAGCGGCCGAUGUCAGAUUAGCUAGUUGGUGAGGUAAAGGCUUACCAAGGCGACGAUCUGUAGCGGGUCUGAGAGGAUGAUCCGCCACACUGGAACUGAGACACGGUCCAGACUCCUACGGGAGGCAGCAGUGGGGAAUUUUGGACAAUGGGCGCAAGCCUGAUCCAGCCAUGCCGCGUGAGUGAAGAAGGCCUUCGGUUGUAAGACUCUUUCGGUCCGGGAACGAAAUACGCAUGGUUAAUACCCUGUGUGGAUGACGGUACCGGAAUAAGAAGCACCGGCUAACUACGUGCC